rnacentral:rRNA from 1 species
GACGAACGCUGGCGGCGUGCUUAACACAUGCAAGUCGAACGGAAAGGCCCUGCUUUUGUGGGGUGCUCGAGUGGCGAACGGGUGAGUAACACGUGAGUAACCUGCCCUUGUCUUUCGGAUAACUUCAGGUAACUGGGGCUACUACCGUAUAGGAUCUCCUGCUGCAUUGUGGGGGUUGGAACGUUUAGGCUGUUGGGGAUGGACUCGCGGCUUAUCAGCUUGUUGGUGGGGGAGUGGCUUACCAAGGCUUUGACGGGUACCCGGCCUGAGAGGGUGACCGGCCACAAUGGGACUGAGAUACGGCCCAGACUCCUACGGGAGGCAGCAGUGGGGAAUAUUGCACAAUGGGCGGAAGCCUGAUGCAGCAACGCCGCGUGCGGGAUGACGGCCUUCGGGUUGAAAAAAGCUUUCGCCUGUGACGAAGCGUGAGUGACGGUAAUGGGUAAAGAAGCACCGGCUAACUACGUG